UAUGUUUUUAAUUUACUCAAAGCGGCCGAUUUGUUGGAAAUGUAUGUAUUUAUAUAUUUUAUAAACGUAUGAAAAAUUAGAUUCGUUGAUGGAUUUUAUACCGGUUGUUUGGCGUUUUGGGGAUCACAGCCUUGACAAACAUUCCCAUUGUAUAAUAAGUUAACUAGUGAGAAUCAGAAAUACCAAAAAUCACUACUAAAAUGGAUGAUUAUAACGGGACCAUGAUCAAAAUACAAGAAGUCGAGGACGUAAAACAGUAUUUCAACAAAGUCUUAGUGAAAAAAUCAAAGCUGAAUCACAUUGAAAAAAAACUCAACAGUUCUCGGACAAACUAUAACGAUUAUCAAAAAACAAUUGACGGAGUUAAAGUAUUGUGAAAUAACCAAUAAUCAGAGCUAAGAUGGAUGGUUAUAAACACGGACCAUGAUCAAAAAUAGAAGAAAAUGAGCAGGGGAACAAUAGUUCUCUAUCAAAACUAUAAAGGUUAUCAAGCAACAGUUGACGGAGAAGCAUAUAAUGCUUUCCUGGGUUGAUGAGUGUGCACCAUAUGAUUAAGUUAUGUGCUGAGUUACUCUCCAUUUGGAUUUAAAAGACUUGUUACAUAUAUCGAAGACAAAUUUCUGUAUUUUUUCCAAAUCGUUUGCAAAUCCAAAAGACCAUUUUGUUCAACUUCAAUCACAGACUCGAAACGAUGGUUAACUAGAAAAGAAAUCAUCAACAAAUCUCAUGUAAAGUAAAAUUUAAUUUGUUAUAUGUUAAAUUACCAAUUGUUAGUUCGUUAAUCCGAUGGGGACGGUCAAGCGGACACAACUUUAUUUAAGCGAGCCGCCUACCAUGCAGGAUGCCAAACGACACAGCGUAAUUAUUAAUAUUUUUACGAAUCAACUUUAGUUAUAGAUAAAUUUAAUUCCAAUAGAAUUUAAAGUGAU